rnacentral:ncRNA from 1 species
AUAAAUGCUAAGAUGAAGAAAAGUAAAUUCUAUUGGAUGAUUUUUAGAGAGCAGAUGAUGGUGGAAUAUCUGUAUGAGUCUUGAAUUGAAAGAACACUUCGGAGCAGUUAACCGAAAUUAUCUAGAAUUAACUAGCUAAGAGUAGACUUAACCGGUUCCAUACCGUUAAAAGUGGAGGGUAUAAAAUUAAAUUUUGUACUUAUAUGAGGUGGGUUUUUUAUAAAAUCAACUAGGGUGGUACCGCGAAUGAUAUCUCGUCCCUAUG